rnacentral:rRNA from 1 species
AACGCGAAGAACCUUACCUGGGCUUGAACCGCUACUGACCAACGAUAGAAAUAUUGUCUUCCCGCAAGGGACAGUAGUAGAGGUGCUGCAUGGCUGUCGUCAGCUCGUGCCGUGAGGUGUUGGGUUAAGUCCCGCAACGAGCGCAACCCUUACUCGUAGUUGCUACCCGCAAGGGAGAACUCUACGAGGACUGCUCCGGAUAACGGAGAGGAAGGUGGGGAUGACGUCAAGUCAGCACGGCCUUUAUGUCCAGGGCUACACACGUGUUACAAUGCAUGGUACAGACUGUUGCGAACCCGCGAGGGGGAGCUAAUCGGCCAAAGCCAUGCUCAGUUCGGAUUGCAGUCUGCAACUCGACUGCAUGAAGCUGGAAUCGCUAGUAAUGGCGCAUCAGAUCGGCGCCGUGAAUACGUUCCCGGGCCUUGUA